rnacentral:rRNA from 1 species
UACGAAGGGGGCUAGCGUUGCUCGGAAUCACUGGGCGUAAAGCGCACGUAGGCGGAUUGCUAAGUCAGGGGUGAAAUCCUGGAGCUCAACUCCAGAACUGCCUUUGAUACUGGUGAUCUUGAGUACGGGAGAGGUGUGUGGAACUCCGAGUGUAGAGGUGAAAUUCGUAGAUAUUCGGAAGAACACCAGUGGCGAAGGCGACACACUGGCCCGUUACUGACGCUGAGGCGCGAAAGCGUGGGGAGCAAACAGG